rnacentral:lncRNA from 1 species
CUGGGCACAGUGCCACCCACCUUUUCCUAUCUUGUAGCUGCCCUUGUUGAUAGCUGCAGAAGAAUGACAGAGGACUUCAAAGGGAAUGCAGAUGUCCGGCUCACCAUUAGCUUUGAUGUACAUCUCUCCACUCCUUGCUGCCACUUUACAGCUGCAGCCUGGCAGUGAAGAUUAUGUCUCACAGGAGCAAGUAGCUGUUGCAUCAAUGCUCUGCUAGUGGCACCACUGAUAGGAAAAGUGUGGCAGCCCUGGAUAGACCAUGCCAAAUAGCAGGUAGUUCAUUAAGCUUUAAUGAUCUUCUCAUAUAUAGAUUUUAUUAAAUUGGCUCUAGUU